rnacentral:rRNA from 1 species
GACGAACGCUGGCGGCGUGCCUAAUACAUGCAUGUCGAGCGGAGCGGCGGACGGGUGAGUAAUGCCUAGGAAUCUGCCUGGUAGUGGGGGCUAACGUCCGGAAACGGGCGCUAAUACGGCCUACUAUCAGAUGAGCCUAUGUCGGAUGAGCUAGUUGGUGGGGGAAAGGCCUACCAAGGCGACGAUCCGUAACUGGUCUGAGCUGAUUAUCAGUCACACUGGACCUGAGACCCAGUCCCGACUCCUACGAGAGGAAGCAGUGGGGAAUAUGGUACAAUGGGCGAAAGCCAGAGCCAGCCAUGCCGCGUGUGUGAAGAAGGUCUGCGUAUUGUAAAGCACUUUAAGUUGGGAGGCGUUACCAACAGAAUAAGCACCGGCUAACUUCGAGCCAGCAGCCGCGGUAAUUC